CCCUGGGUGGCAUAGUUAAGUUCUCAGCUACAAACUGAAAGAUUGGUGGUUCAAGUCCACCCUGAGGCA
rnacentral:tRNA from 1 species